rnacentral:rRNA from 1 species
CCUACGGGGGGCAGCAGUGGGGAAUCUUGCACAAUGGGCGAAAGCCUGAUGCAGCGACGCCGCGUGCGGGACGAAGGCCUUCGGGUUGUAAACCGCUUUCAGCAGGGACGAGGCGAUAAGUGACGGUACCUGCAGAAGAAGCCCCGGCUAACUACGUGCCAGCAGCCGCGGUAAUACGUAGGGGGCAAGCGUUAUCCGGAUUCAUUGGGCGUAAAGCGCUCGUAGGCGGUCUGUUAGGUCGGGAGUUAAAUCCGGAGGCUCAACCUCCGCCCGCUCCCGAUACCGGCAGACUUGAGUUUGGUAGGGGAAGGUGGAAUUCCUAGUGUAGCGGUGGAAUGCGCAGAUAUUAGGAAGAACACCAGUGGCGAAGGCGGCCUUCUGGGCCAUAACUGACGCUGAGGAGCGAAAGCUAGGGGAGCAAACAGGAUUAGAUACCCGUGUAGUC